rnacentral:rRNA from 1 species
GUUUGAUCAUGGCUCAGAACGUACGCUGGCGGCACGCCUAACACAUGCAAGUCGAACGAAGUAGCAAUACUUAGUGGCAGACGGGUGAGUAACAUGUAGGUAUCUGCCCUUUGGCCUGGAAUAACACGAGGAAACUUGUGCUAAUACCGGAUAAGUCUUUACGGAGAAAGCUUUAUGCACCAUUGGAUGAGCCUGCACUUGAUUAGUUUGUUGGUGGGGUAAUGGCCUACCAAGACUGUGAUCAAUAGCUGAUUUGAGAGGAUGAUCAGCCACAUUGGGACUGAGACACGGCCCAAACUCCUACGGGAGGCAGCAGUGGGGAAUCUUGCACAAUGGAGGAAACUCUGAUGCAGCGAUGCCGCGUGAGUGAAGAAGGCCCUUGGGUUGUAAAGCUCUUUCGUCGGGGAAGAAAAUGACUGUACCCGAAUAAGAAGGUCCGGCUAACUUCGUGCCAGCAGCCGCGGUAAUACGAAGGGACCUAGCGUAGUUCGGAAUUACUGGGCUUAAAGAGUUCGUAGGUGGUUGAAAAAGUUGGUGGUGAAAUCCCAGAGCUUAACUCUGGAACUGCCAUCAAAACUUUUCAGCUAGAGUAUGAUAGAGGAAAGCAGAAUUUCUAGUGUAGAGGUGAAAUUCGUAGAUAUUAGAAAGAAUACCAAUUGCGAAGGCAGCUUUCUGGAUCAUUACUGACACUGAGGAACGAAAGCAUGGGUAGCGAAGAGGAUUAGAUACCCUCGUAGUCCAUGCCGUAAACGAUGUGUGUUAGACGUUGGAAAUUUAUUUUCAGUGUCGCAGCGAAAGCGAUAAACACACCGCCUGGGGAGUACGACCGCAAGGUUAAAACUCAAAUGAAUUGACGGGGACCCGCACAAGUAGUGGAGCAUGUGGUUUAAUUCGAAGAUACGCGCAGAACCUUACCAACACUUGACAUGUUCGUCGCGACUUUAAGAGAUUAAAGUUUUCGGUUCGGCCGGACGAAACACAGGUGCUGCAUGGCUGUCGUCAGCUCGUGUCGUGAGAUGUUGGGUUAAGUCCCGCAACGAGCGCAACCCUCACUUUUAGUUGCCAUCAUUAAGUUGGGCACUCUGAAAGAACUGCCAGUGAUAAGCUGGAGGAAGGUGGGGAUGACGUCAAGUCCUCAUGGCCCUUACGUGUUGGGCUACACACGUGCUACAAUGGUAUCUACAACAGGAAGCAAGACUGCGAAGUUAAGCAAAUCCUUAAAAGAUACCUCAGUUCGGAUUGCACUCUGCAACUCGAGUGCAUGAAGCUGGAAUUACUAGUAAUCGUGGAUCAGCGUGCCACGGUGAAUGCGUUCCCGGGUCUUGUACACACCGCCCGUCACACCAUGGGAGUUGGUUCUACCUUAAGGCAAGGUUUCAAACCCUUGACCACGGUAUAGUCAGCGACUGGGGUGAAGUCAUAACAAGGUAGCCGUA